AAUAUCAAAGGUGAGCCAGUACAGGAUGGACCCGCGUCUGAUUAGCUAGUUGGUAAGGUAACGGCUUACCAAGGCGACGAUCAGUAGCCGACCUGAGAGGGUGAUCGGCCACAUUGGAACUGAGACACGGUCCAAACUCCUACGGGAGGCAGCAGGGGGGAAUAUUGCACAAUGGGCGAAAGCCUGAUGCAGCAACGCCGCGUGAGUGAUGAAGGCCUUCGGGUCGUAAAACUCUGUCCUCAAGGAAGAUAAUGACGGUACUUGAGGAGGAAGCCCCGGCUAACUACGUGCCAGCAGCCGCGGUAAUACGUAGGGGGCUAGCGUUAUCCGGA
rnacentral:rRNA from 1 species